rnacentral:rRNA from 1 species
CCUACGGGUGACAGCAGUGAGGAAUAUUGGUCAAUGGACGCGAGUCUGAACCAGCCAUGCAGCGUGCAGGAUGACGGCCCUAUGGGUUGUAAACUUCUUUUGUAUGGGAAUAAAGGUUUCCACGUGUGUCAUUUUGUAUGUACCGUAUGAAUAAGGAUCGGCUAACUCCGUGCCAGCAGCCGCGGUAAUACGGAGGAGCCGAGCGUUAUCCGGAUUUAUUGGGUGUAAAGGGAGUGUAGCUGGAUUGUUAAGUCAGUUGUGAAAGUUUGCGGCUCAACCGUAAAAUUGCAGUUGAAACUGGCAGUCUUGAGUACAGUAGAGGUGGUCGGAAUUCGUGGUGUAGCGGUGAAAUGCGUAGAUAUAACGAAGAACACCGGUGGCGAAGGCAGAUGACUGGACUGCAACUGACAGUGAGGCGCGAAAGUGUGGGGAGCAAACAGGAUUAGAUACCCCGGUAGUC